rnacentral:rRNA from 1 species
CAAUGGGGGGGAAUUUUCCGCAAUGGGCGAAAGCCUGACGGAGCAAUACCGCGUGAGGGACGAAGGCUUUUGGGUCGUAAACCUCUUUUCUCAAGGAAGACUUAGACGGUACUUGAGGAAUAAGCAUCGGCUAACUCCGUGCCAGCAGCCGCGGUAAUACGGAGGAUGCAAGCGUUAUCCGGAAUGAUUGGGCGUAAAGCGUCCGCAGGUGGUUUUGUAAGUCUGCUGUUAAAGCGUGUAGCUCAACUACAUACAGGCAGUGGAAACUAUGAGACUAGAGUAUGUUAGGGGUAGAGGGAAUUCCCAGUGUAGCGGUGAAAUCCGUAGAGAUUGGGAAGAACACCGGUGUUGAAAAAUUUCCCCAAGGGCAUUAGUACCCCAGGUCAAACCUGU